AACAGGAUGUGGGUCUCCUCUUCGUCUCCAAGGCUGCUGGCACCUGCUCUGGGGAAGAGCUGCAUGGAAGAACAAAGAAAACUGAUCAAAACAUUCUGCCAUUUUGUUCAUUAGCUGCUAUUUCCUGGAGUUACUGGAAAAGGUCAUAAUAAUUUUGUAUCCUCCUCAAAGGCCUAUAUGGUUUUAUACAGCUUCAUUAAUGGACUCCUCCCUCCACCCCCAGCCGGAACCUGCCAAUCUCAAUCCAGGUAAUUUGGAAAAACUGGCUAUCAGUUAACCAGGUUGCAAACUGACUUUUUCUGAAUGCAAAGAACACAGAAGUGAGCACUAAACGUCUGCUAGAUGAGGCUAGUUCUCCAGAAGUGGCUUUUCCAUUGUGUGAAAGAUCCCAUGAAACAAGGAAAUGUAUCAGCCUAUGGUGUCUACAAGGGGAUCCAUCUUCCACUAUGCUGAUCAACAUCCAUAUGAAACCACUGGGAGACAUGAUUUUGGGAUUUGGACUUCAGUAUCAUCAAUACGUUGAUGACAUCUUACUCUUGACUCCAAGAAGACUGUUGAAGUACUGUUCCUACUAAUGAAGCAACUCCAACCUGAGUCACACAGGUACAUUUUUUUAGAACAACCAGCUGAAUGUUUAAGUUGGUCUCAUACAGGGCUGGGCGAUGUCACAAGGUAAACAUCACAGUCUGGUGAUACACUGUGAUGUGGAAACAACAAGCUGCAUUGGCCCCAGCCCCGCAAGGCGGUUUCACCCCAGUGCAUUGGGGGGCUAGGGGACGGCGUUCCCAGCUUGUGCAUAAGGUAUUGGGGCUUCCUCAACUUGGGAGGGGGGGCAGGAGCAGUUUAAGAGAGCCCCCACUCCAGCUCUGCUAAACUGCUUAGCUAAGGAGUGUGUGGCUACUGAUGCCUCAGCAGAGCAGUUUAAAGAUGCCAAGAAAUGAACAAGUUGUAUCAGCUGUUGAUGCAGCUUGCUCCUCCCUCUGCAGUAUGAGGGGUAGAGCAUGAAGGUGGUAUAUUGCAGGUGAAACCACUGCCACUCAAGAGUCCCUCUGCUAUCAGCGGCCCUGGCAGCACAGGGACUCAGGAGCAGUGGAAGUUUCACCUGCGAUAUACCACCAGAUAAAGCUGCCAUCGUGCUCUGCCCCUGGUUGAUAUGUCACCCAGGCCUAGUCUCAUAUCAGUGUGCAUGUUUCAGCUGUGCAAAGGAGCCAUUUUCACAAUAAAUUCAGCCUGAGAUUAUUUUCAGAUGAGUUGAACCUCUGAAAUAAUCCAAAGACAUCACACCCAAACAAUUGUUCACGGAACUUUAGCAUUCGUGUAAUUUUUGAAUAAAUAUUUUACUGUUUUGGGACACUGUCAAUCACCAGACAGCUUCUCCACAUUGGUUUUUUCUUAAUUUAAAAAGUCAUAUUUCUAACAUUCCUUGUUGCAUUUUAUACUGCUUACAUUAAAGACCUGCUCACAUAUGCUAUCGUUUGGUUUAAAAAAUCACUUGCCUCAUCAAAAUUUGAUUAUACUAACAUAUUUUGCAUGCAUGCCUGUAGGUUAAUCCACACUUUGCCUUUAUUUUAUUAUUUAUAGAAUUUGUAUGCCACCCUAUAACCAGAGGUCUCAGGGCGGUUCACAGAACAAGAUCAACAUAACACAAUAUAUAUACAACCAAAAUAAAACAACAACCCAAUAACACCCCCCUUAAUAUUUUGUUCAGUUUGUAGUUUUCAUACAUAAUUUUUGUAAUUGCUGGAAGCUCUCUUGAUCACCUUGUGGUAUGAAUAAGGGGAAAGGGGGUGUAUUGCUUUUGCUGCCUCAGCUUGUUUUGACAGCUGGAUGAGGGCAAUAGCCAAUGGGCUCCAGUGACGAAGAAAUGCUUCCUAUGUGACAAAUGAUUCUGCCUGCAUUUUAAAGGUGGCUGAAACAAGCAAGUGUCAGAUAGGCCUGGGCAAUGUAUCACCCAGGACCGGUAUGAGGGCCAGACAGCAAUGUCUGUUUCACUCAGCGAUAUAUCGGGGUGAAACAGCAGCUGCUCCUGAGUUCCUCUACCUCCAGAGCAACUGCUGUUUCACCUGCAAUAUACGGCCAGCAGACGGCUUCUUUAAACUGCUCCACUCAGCACAGGGGCUUGAACAGCUGAGAUGCGGGCAAUGGAAGGCAGCCUGCUUCUCAGCUGAUCAGCCCCCCCCCAAAAAAAAACCUCACACAGGCAGCUGCCAAUGCUGAGGGAGGGGGUUGAAGCCGCACAGAUGGAGCAUUCCUGUGGUGGCCUCAUCCACUGCUGCCUUCUUACGGGACAGAUAGGUAGCCCAGCUAUGUGAAAGCAGAGGGAGCCCUGUGAAUGGGGCCUGACAGGCACCGCUGUCCAGCUGCCUUCGCCCAGGAGGGAGGAGGGUGGACUGCAUCUUUUCUCUGGAACUGGGAGCCGGCCCCAGGAUGAAACCACCUUGGCAGGAGCAGUGACAGUUUCACUCCGGUGUCUCUCAGGGCUGGGGGCAAUGCAGCUUAUUCCACCAGAUUGCAAUGUUGAAAACCUAACAUUGCCUAGCCCUAGACUUCAGCUUUUAUUCUUGUCAUGCAUUUCUUCUUCCCUGCAUUUUGCUUAUCAUAGAAUCAUAGAGUUGGAAGAGACCACAAGGGCCAUCCAGUCCAACCCCCUGCCAAGCAAUGAACACUAUCAAAGCAUUCCUGACAGAUGGCUGUCAGGCCUCUGCUUAAAGACCUCCAAAGAAGGAGACUCCACCACACUCCUUGGUAGCAAAUUCACUGCCAACCAGCUCUUACUGUCAGGAAGUUCUUCCUAAUUUAGGUGGAAGCUUCUUUCUUGUAGUUUGAAUCCAUUGCUCCGUGUCUGCUUCUCUGGAGCAGCAGAAAACAACCUUUCUCCCUCCUCUAUAUGGCAUCCUUUUAUAUAUUUGAACAUGGCUAUCAUAUCACCCCUUAACCUUCUCUUCCCCAGGCUAAACAUACCCAGCUCCCUAAGCCGUUCCUCUUAAGGCAUCACUUCCAGGCCUUUGACCAUUUUGGUUGCCCUCUUCUGGACACGUUCCAGCUUGUCACUAUCCUUCUUGAACUGUGGUGCCCAGAACUGGACACAAUACUCCAGGUGAGGUCUGACCAGAGCAGAAUACAGUGGUACUAUUACUUCCCUUGAUCUAGACGCUAUACUCCUAUUGAUGCAGCCCAGAAUUGCAUUGGCUUUUUUAGCUGCUGCAUCACACUGCUGACUCAUGUCAAGUUUGAGGUCUACCAAGACUCCUAGAUCCUUUUCACAUGUACUGCUCUCAAGCCAGGUGUCCAUUAAAUAAUGUAAUAUUGUAGAUUACUGCUGUCUCAUGAAGCUCCUAAGGCCAACCCUUCUUUUCAUGGAGAGGAUGCAUCUUCAUCAAUAGUAAGGCUCAGAUUUAACGCCUGAAAAACACAAUUCAUUACCUGAAUCUCUAAAGUCAUCUCAGCAAUCUGAUUCUGUUGAUUGUCUAUGACCUGUUAGGAGAAGAACACACAAAAAUGCUCUUUGUAUCUCUGGUGUAUCUGUCAAAUUUAUGUGAGGUCAAGGUAUCUAAUUUGUUGUAAACUUGGGAAUGGAUGCAAAGGGCAUACAUUGCUACAAAAAAAAAAACCACAACAAUUUAGGAUGCUGCGAGAUCAGGAAUGAAAUUAGUAACAGGAAAAGCCUGGUAU